rnacentral:rRNA from 1 species
GCAAAACGCGAAGAACCUUACCCAGGCUUGACAUGCAGAGGACAGCGCUAGAGAUAGCGUUUCCCGUAAGGGUCUCUGCACAGGUGCUGCAUGGCUGUCGUCAGCUCGUGCCGUGAGGUGUUGGGUUAAGUCCCGCAACGAGCGCAGCCCUUAUCAUUAGUUGCCAACACGUGAAGGUGGGAACUCUAAUGAGACUGCCCGGGUUAACCGGGAGGAAGGCGAGGAUGACGUCAAGUCCGCAUGGCCCUUAUGUCUGGGGCUACACACGUGCUACAAUGGUCGGUACAGAGGGCAGCCAAACCGCGAGGUGGAGCAAAUCCCAUAAAGCCGGCCCCAGUUCAGAUUGUAGUCUGCAACUCGACUACAUGAAGUUGGAAUUGCUAGUAAUGGCGUGUCAGCUACAACGCCGUGAAUACGUUCCCGGGUCUUGUACACACCG